UAGGGAAUCUUCCACAAUGGACGCAAGUCUGAUGGAGCAACGCCGCGUGAGUGAAGAAGGUUUUCGGAUCGUAAAGCUCUGUUGUUGGUGAAGAAGGAUAGAGGCAGUAACUGGUCUUUAUUUGACGGUAAUCAACCAGAAAGUCACGGCUAACUACGCGCCAGCAGCCGCGGUAAUACGUAGGUGGCAAGCGUUGUCCGGAUUUAUUGGGCGUAAAGCGAGCGCAGGCGGAAUGAUAAGUCUGAUGUGAAAGCCCACGGCUCAACCGUGGAACUGCAUCGGAAACUGUCAUUCUUGAGUGCAGAAGAGGAGAGUGGAACUCCAUGUGUAGCGGUGGAAUGCGUAGAUAUAUGGAAGAACACCAGUGGCGAAGGCGGCUCUCUGGUCUGCAACUGACGCUGAGGCUCGAAAGCAUGGGUAGCGAACAGGAUUAGAUACCCUGGUAGUCCAUGCCGUAAACGAUGAGC
rnacentral:rRNA from 1 species